ACGUGGUAUCCUGUCUGAAUAUGGGGGGACCAUCCUCCAAGGCUAAAUACUCCUGACUGACCGAUAGUGAACCAGUACCGUGAGGGAAAGGCGAAAAGAACCCCGGCGAGGGGAGUGAAAAAGAACCUGAAACCGUGUACGUACAAGCAGUGGGAGCACAGGUUUACCUGUGUGACUGCGUACCUUUUGUAUAAUGGGUCAGCGACUUAUAUUCUGUAGCAAGGUUAACCGUAUAGGGGAGCCGAAGGGAAACCGAGUCUUAACCGGGCGUUAAGUUGCAGGGUAUAGACCCGAAACCCGGUGAUCUAGCCAUGGGCAGGUUGAAGGUUGGGUAACACUAACUGGAGGACCGAACCGACUAAUGUUGAAAAAUUAGCGGAUGACCUGUGGCUGGGGGUGAAAGGCCAAUCAAACCGGGAGAUAGCUGGUUCUCCCCGAAAGCUAUUUAGGUAGCGCCUCGUGAAUUCAUCUCCGGGGGUAGAGCACUGUUUCGGCUAGGGGGCCAUCCCGGCUUACCAACCCGAUGCAAACUGCGAAUACCGGAGAAUGUUAUCACGGGAGACACACGGCGGGUGCUAACGUCCGUCGUGAAGAGGGAAACAACCCAGACCGCCAGCUAAGGUCCCAAAGUCAUGGUUAAGUGGGAAACGAUGUGGGAAGGCCCAGACAGCCAGGAUGUUGGCUUAGAAGCAGCCAUCAUUUAAAGAAAGCGUAAUAGCUCACUGGUCGAGUCGGCCUGCGCGGAAGAUGUAACGGGGCUAAACCAU
rnacentral:rRNA from 1 species